GACGGAGGAUGCAAGUGUUAUCCGGAAUCACUGGGCGUAAAGCGUCUGUAGGUUGUUUAAAAAGUCUGCAGUUAAAGGUUGAAGCUUAACUUCAAAAAUGCCGUAGAAACUUUUAAACUAGAGGAUGGUAGGGGUAGAGGGAAUUUCCAGUGGAGCGGUGAAAUGUGUAGAUAUUGGAAAGACCACCGAUGGCAGGAAGCUACU
rnacentral:rRNA from 1 species